AUUUUCGAAACAUCUGGAGCAAGAGACAAAUCCCAUCAGCUCAGUUCCAACAAUAUAUGCAGAUGGGCAACUGAUGGUCAGACUCCAGUGGUUCUUCAAAACUUUCUAGGAGGUAAACAAGAUGAAAGGGAAAGCACACAAAUUUGCUGGAAUUUGGAAAACAUGAACCCUGGAAUUUGGAGGAGUCAGUUCCACUGGAAAAUACUUUUAUAUUAUUUAUAGUGGCUACCAUUACUGUGCUCACUUUACAGGUGAGGUUCAGAGAUUUAUUUAACAUGCCAAAGGUCACACAGCUGGACACAGCAGAACCAAGAUUCAGAUCUCCACAGCAGUAAAUGAAACCAGCCCAGCUGCAUGCUCACCUGAAACUUACUUUCUCCUUCACGUUCCAAACUCAUGACUUGCUUGUGGCAGAAAAAAAGAACUACUUCGGGGUCCCCAACCCCUGGCAGUGGACCGGUACUGGCCCAUGGCCAGUGGCCAGUUAGGAUCUGGGCGACACAGCAGCAGGGCUAUUUCAGUCCAAGGAGGAAUGGGAUGCAUAGGUGACC
rnacentral:lncRNA from 1 species